CACAGUCUGAGAGAAAUAGCUCCGCUGCCAAUUGCUACUUAAUACAAGAACUCUAGAGAGCUCGAGUAGAGUCUAUAACUAAGUUAGGAGUCUGCAAAAGAACUCAAAGUUUAGCUCUAAUGCGGGAAGGAAAGAGAUGGUGAAAAAGAAGAACAAGAAUAAAAAUAAGAGAGAAAAAUACUUCAUUCAUGUUCAAUAUUGUAUUGCAUGGCACUAUUUAUAGCAUUUGUUUUACUUUAACUAACUACCGGUUAAUAGAUUUAUUACUACUAAAUAGUAGUAACUAACUAGAUGAUUAAGUGUAGGCCAACUAAUUCAACUUGAUCCGUUACAAGAUUGGUAUUUAGAUGCAUCAUGAACAUAGUAAAACAAGUGCCUGUCUGCAAGCAAACAUAUAUACUUUGUAUAUAUACAGAACAUGCACAUUACUACAGUUCUCUAGGAGAUUUCUCCUUUGAUGUCUUAAAACAGUUUGGCAAUUAACGUCAUUUUGGUUGGGAUUGCAAACCUGUUUCUUUGGAAAGUAAAUCCCACAGCCAAUUACUACAGUGAAAGAAUACAUAAUGGUCAUAUCAGGAUUAGCCUCCUCUGGAAUCACAGUCAAGGUGCAGUGUGAUAAUUGGCUCUUAUUAGGUAUCAUCAAAAGUCGUAAUGGCUUUUCAAUAUUGUCACCCAUUAUAACAAUGAUUUGCAGCAGAAUCAAGAGAUAAAAAACGGCACUACUUAGUAUCAAUCGCUUAGACAUGCAGGAAAUAGCAUUACUGAAUCAAUAGCACUAAGUCGUUUGCAGCUGGAGUUACAUCAGUUACUCAUGCAAUCUUGAAAGAGAAGUGUGGCUCAUGUAGUUGCUCAUAGGCAUUAGACCAGACUCAUAAGUUAGUUUCAAUUAUAUACAUACAGUUGAAGCUAUUAUAACUGUGGAACAUAAUUGCUCCUGAGGACGCAGUGGAGCUUCAAAUUCUGACUACCAGCAUCCAAUUUAGGACUGUCUUCUGCCAAUAAGACAAAAGAAUUCCAAGCAGAAAACCAUGUACAGAUAUUCCCAUCCACAAAAAUCUGCAGCAGAAUCUCCGGAUUCACAAAGAAGAAGGAUAAAAUCAACAACACAGGGCACUAAGAUUCUACAGGGUUUAGGCAAACAACAAAAUGGUUGCAUCUAGCUAUAUUAUCCGUUUGAUGGACUUAAGUAUGCACUUAUUGACCAUCAAAACUUACCAGUCUGUAAUCCGAUUUUCUGACUGAAAAGGACCACAUAGAAGAUAGCAGUCUCAGGAUGCAAAUUGGAUUAGGAGGUUGCUAGUUAUGAUGGGAUGAGUAAGGCAAUUUUGUAACGAGCAUUCCUGCAAUGAAAGGGAAGGAAGAAAAGUCAAGGAGCAUAUAUAUCACACACUAAUGUUUAUUGUCAAGGAACAAUGUGUGCUCUCGGUAGCUUUAUUGUGGUCUCAUAAGAAAUAGCUGGGAUGUGCUUGGACUAAAGAAAAAACAGCAGUCUCCUCCUUGACAUUUAGCUCAGCCUAAAUUACACCUUACUGCUGGUAAAUUUCCAUCCAUCUGGUACUCCCCUAAGUAGUAAAGACUUCAAAACUCUGCCAU
rnacentral:lncRNA from 1 species